rnacentral:rRNA from 1 species
ACGAAGGAGGCUAGCGUUGCUCGGAAUCACUGGGCGUAAAGCGCACGUAGGCGGAUCUUUAAGUCAGGGGUGAAAUCCCAAGGCUCAACCUUGGAACUGCCUUUGAUACUGGGGAUCUCGAGUCCGGAAGAGGUGAGUGGAACUCCGAGUGUAGAGGUGAAAUUCGUAGAUACUCGGAAGAACACCAGUGGCGAAGGCGGCUCACUGGUCCGGUACUGACGCUGAGGUGCGAAAGCGUGGGGAGCAAACAGGA